rnacentral:rRNA from 1 species
UACGUAGGGGGCUAGCGUUGUCCGGAAUCAUUGGGCGUAAAGCGCGUGUAGGCGGUUCGGUAAGUCCGCUGUGAAAGUCGGGGGCUCAACCCUCGAAUGCCGGUGGAUACUGUCGGACUAGAGUACGGAAGAGGCGAGUGGAAUUCCUGGUGUAGCGGUGAAAUGCGCAGAUAUCAGGAGGAACACCAAUGCGAAGGCAGCUCGUUGGGACGUUACUGACGCUGAGACGCGAAAGCGUGGGGAGCGAACGG